rnacentral:rRNA from 1 species
AAAUUUCAUCGUGAUGGGGAUAGAUCAUUGCAAUUGUUGGUCUUCAACGAGGAAUGCCUAGUAAGCGCGAGUCAUCAGCUCGCGUUGACUACGUCCCUGCCCUUUGUACACACCGCCCGUCGCUCCUACCGAUUGAAUGGUCCGGUGAAGUGUUCGGAUCGCGGCGACGGGGGCGGUUCGCCGCCCCCGACGUCNCGAGAAGUCCAUUGAACCUUAUCAUUUAGAGGAAGGAGAAGUCGUAACAAGGUUUCCGUAGGUGAACCUGCGGAAGGAUCAUUG